AGAGCGAACGCUGGCGGCAGGCUUAACACAUGCAAGUCGAGCGGGCGUAGCAAUACGUCAGCGGCAGACGGGUGAGUAACGCGUGGGAACGUACCUUUUGGUUCGGAACAACCCAGGGAAACUUGGGCUAAUACCGGAUAAGCCCUUACGGGGAAAGAUUUAUCGCCGAAAGAUCGGCCCGCGUCUGAUUAGCUAGUUGGUGAGGUAAUGGCUCACCAAGGCGACGAUCAGUAGCUGGUCUGAGAGGAUGAUCAGCCACAUUGGGACUGAGACACGGCCCAAACUCCUACGGGAGGCGGCAGUGGGGAAUAUUGGACAAUGGGCGCAAGCCUGAUCCAGCCAUGCCGCGUGAGUGAUGAAGGCCCUAGGGUUGUAAAGCUCUUUUGUGCGGGAAGAUAAUGACGGUACCGCAAGAAUAAGCCCCGGCUAACUUCGCGCCAGCAGCCGC
rnacentral:rRNA from 1 species